GAUGACCACUUCGGUGGGGAUUAGUGGCGAACGGGUGAGUAACACGUGGGCAAUCUGCCCUGCACUCUGGGACAAGCCCUGGAAACGGGGUCUAAUACCGGAUACUGACCCGCUUGGGCAUCCAAGCGGUUCGAAAGCUCCGGCGGUGCAGGAUGAGCCCGCGGCCUAUCAGCUUGUUGGUGAGGUAAUGGCUCACCAAGGCGACGACGGGUAGCCGGCCUGAGAGGGCGACCGGCCACACUGGGACUGAGACACGGCCCAGACUCCUACGGGAGGCAGCAGUGGGGAAUAUUGCACAAUGGGCGAAAGCCUGAUGCAGCGACGCCGCGUGAGGGAUGACGGCCUUCGGGUUGUAAACCUCUUUCAGCAGGGAAGAAGCGAAAGUGACGGUACCUGCAGAAGAAGCGCCGGCUAACUACGUGCCAGCAGCCGCGGUAAUACGUAGGGCGCGAGCGUUGUCCGGAAUUAUUGGGCGUAAAGAGCUCGUAGGCGGCUUGUCACGUCGGUUGUGAAAGCCCGGGGCUUAACCCCGGGUCUGCAGUCGAUACGGGCAGGCUAGAGUUCGGUAGGGGAGAUCGGAAUUCCUGGUGUAGCGGUG
rnacentral:rRNA from 1 species